rnacentral:rRNA from 1 species
AUGAUCUUGCUCCUGAUCGCCUCUGGAACACCAUCGGCCACCUCCGCCGAUGCAAAGGGCCGAUCAACCUCGGGUUGCGUUGCAAGGGAACGGGAGGCGCUCCUUUCCUUCAAGGAAAGCUUCCUGGACCCCACCGGCCGUCUCUCCUCGUGGCGAGGCCGAGACUGCUGCCGGUGGCAGGGUGUCCGGUGCGACAACAGCACUGGACACGUCGUCGGAAUCAACCUCCGCAACACCGCCGAAUAUCGCCGGAGUGCUGAAUUGAUGCUAUCGACUGGUGAGCUGAGCUCCUCCAUCACCGGGUUGCGAUAUCUGAGGUACCUUGAUCUGAGCUACAAUGACUUCAACCGGACAAGCAUACCGAUGUUCUUCGGUGCCCUCAACAACUUACGGUACCUCAACCUCUCAUGUGCAAAUUUUGAAGGCAGGAUACCUCCACACAUCGGUAAUCUCUCCAAGUUGCGGUAUCUGGAUGUUAGUGGUGAUGAUACUGGUAGUCUUUCAGUAUCCCAUUUUUCAUGGUUGCGUAGGCUCUCCGUUUUGAUUCAUCUCGAUGUGAGCCGAGUAUUUGUCAGAUCAGCUAGGAAUUGGAUCAGCCAAGUGAAUAUGCUGCCUAAUCUUAAGGUCCUUCGAUUGUCCGACUGCGGGCUUAACACUACCGUCUCUACUCUGUCCCCGUCCAACCUCACACAUCUGGAGGUGCUUGAUCUGUCAGGCAAUUCAUUUGGCACUUCACUCCAACACAACUGGUUCUGGGAUCUCACUAGCCUCAGGGAGCUUCGGCUCGCAGGGUGUGACUGGCCAGCAGGGCCUAUUCCCGAUGCUCUGGGCAACAUGUCCUCCCUUGAGGUCAUUGAUUUAAGUGCCAACCAUCAACUAUUCGGGUACAUCCCGGCAAACCUGGAAAAGCUAUGCAAUCUGCAGGUGCUGAAUUUGGACUGGGUGAAUAUCAACGGGGACCUGACAACACUCAUGGAAAGAUUACCAAGGUGUUCGUGGAAUGCGUUGCGUGAAGUGUACUUGUUACGAGCGAAUUUGUCCGGGGAACCGCCAGAUUGGAUAGGAAAUCUGACCAGUCUGAGCCUUCUUGACCUCUACCAGAACAUGCUUGUUGGCCCGGUACCUGCCGGGAUCGGAGCACUUGGCAAUCUGGCUUACCUGGACUUCGGCUUGAGCAAUCUCAAUGGUGUGCUGUCGACGGAACAUUUUGCAAGUCUAAUGAACCUUGAAUAUCUUGACCUUUCACACAACUCUCUGAAAUUGGAUCUAAACGGCAACUGGGUUCCACCGUUCAGAUUGGAUACAGGAUACUUCAGAUCAUGUAACUUGGGCCCUCAAUUCCCGACGUGGCUGAGAUGGCAAGCUGGCAUAACCCGGCUUGAUAUUUCCAACGCAAGCAUAAGUGAUGUCUUGCCUGACUGGUUCUGGACUGUUUCUUCUCAUGCUUCAGUGUUGUACUUGUCAAGGAAUGAACUGAGUGGGGCCUUUCCAGCACAGUUGGAUCUACCGUCGGUUGAACUAAUGGAUCUCUCAAAAAAUUCCCUGUCAGGGAAGCUCCCAGCAAAUCUCACAGCUCCGCUACUCAGUCAGUUGCAUCUUUCGAGCAAUGAUAUCGAAGGUACCAUCCCAUCAUAUGUGUGUCAAUUGAAUCAUUUGUCGGAACUGGAUCUGUCGAGCAAUCAACUGACAGGGGAUCUUCCAAGAUGCCCAGAAAAUAUUGCAUGGAGUCCCGAUUUCACAUAUUGUGUUCAAUUCGGUUGUUACUUGUCGAUUCUAGACUUGAAGAAUAACAGGUUGUCAGGUCAAUUCCCAGAUUUCCUCCAAAAUGCCUCAUGGUUAAGUUUUCUUGACCUUUCGCACAACGUAUUCUCUGGUAGUUUGCCAACAUGGAUAGAUGAGAAAAUGCCAAGCCUAGAAGUGCUGGUUCUACGAUCAAACAUGUUCUCUGGUCACCUUCCUAGGCAGUUCACAAAUCUGUCCAGUCUUCAUUACUUGGAUGUGGCACAUAACAACAUAUCAGAGAAGAUACCUUCCUCUCUUGGUAGACUGAAAGCUAUGACAGGUGAACCCGAAGGAAGCAAAACAAAUUACAGCGACGACAGCAUAAUGACUGUCACGAAAGACCAGGAGCGUCAAUACACCCUUGAUUUCACAAACCCCAUUGUGCUGAUUGACCUGUCAUGUAACAUUAUAACUGGACAUAUUCCGGAGGAACUAUCUUUGCUUGGGGGACUUCAGACGCUGAAUCUCUCUGGCAACCAGCUAGAUGGAACAAUCGUGGACGGUAUCGGUGCCUCAAGGAAAUUAGAAUCUCUUGACCUAUCCUACAACAGUUUGGCUGGUGAAAUCCCGUCAGGUUUAUCUGACCUCACAUUUCUGAGCUGGCUAAACUUGUCCUACAAUGGUCUAUCAGGAAGAAUCCCCUCGGGGAGGCAGCUACAGACACUCAAUGAUCCAUAUAUAUACGUCGGCAACCAUGGGCUCUGUGGGCUUCCUCUCCCCAACAAUUGUUCAAAUGGAGCAAACCCAAGUGCCCAUGAAGAACAUGAAGGUGCACCUAAUGAUACAACAUAUUUGUUCCUUGGCAUAAGCAUGGGGUAUGUAGUGGGCCUGUGGACAGUGUUUUGCAUCCUUCUGUUCAGCAGAACUUGGAGGGCUGCGUGGUUCCGGCUUUUCGAUCAGUUGUGUGACAAGAGCUAUGUGCAAGUGGCCGUUGCUAAGGCCGCCAUGGCAAGGUGCUUCAGAGACGAGGCAUUGUGA